rnacentral:rRNA from 1 species
UACGUAGGGGGCAAGCGUUGUCCGGAUUUACUGGGCGUAAAGCGCGCGUAGGCGGAACGUUAAGUCCGGUCUGAAAGCCCCCGGCUCAACCGGGGAGGGUGGCUGGAAACUGGCGUUCUUGAGGGCGAGAGAGGAGGGUGGAAUUCCUGGUGUAGCGGUGAAAUGCGCAGAUAUCAGGAGGAACACCAAUGGCGAAGGCAGCUCACUGGGACGGUAUUGACGCUGAGACGCGAAAGCGUGGGGAGCAAACAGG